CACUUUAAACAAUUUUGUUGUCUUAUACAUACCAAGACAAAAACUGCAUUGUGCACGAUACACAAAAUAAUAACGGGCGUUGCUUUACUUAUCUUGAAAAAUAAAAAAAUAUUAUCAUCUACUUCUACUAUAAAUGAUAAAGACUUCGGUCAUGGAUUCGAUAUUCCUGAAAUAGUGAGAUGCAUGUUUAAAGAACCAACAGAAGAUAAAAUGUGCCAGAAAGAUUGUUUCUUUAAAGGAUAUCUGUAUGGGAUCUGCGUCGGAAAUACAUGCACUUGUCUAUAAUUUCAUUGAAUCUUCGAUGAUAGGAAGUAAAAAAUAUUGUUCGUGUAAAACUAAUGGUGUGGAUUUUCAAUUAAUUAUACAACAAACAAACA